UGGGGAAUAUUGCACAAUGGGCGCAAGCCUGAUGCAGCAACGCCGCGUGAACGAUGAAGGUCUUCGGAUCGUAAAGUUCUGUUGCAGGGGAAGAUAAUGACGGUACCCUGUGAGGAAGCCCCGGCUAACUACGUGCCAGCAGCCGCGGUAAUACGUAGGGGGCUAGCGUUGUCCGGAUUUAUUGGGCGUAAAGGGGGCGCAGGCUGCUUCUUAAGUCUGAUGUGAAAGCCCACGGCUUAACCGUGGAAGUGCAUUGGAAACUGGGAAGCUUGAGUACAGAAGAGGAAAGUGGAACUCCAUGUGUAGCGGUGGAAUGCGUAGAUAUAUGGAAGAACACCAGUGGCGAAAGCGACUUUCUGGUCUGUCACUGACGCUGAGGCCCGAAAGCGUGGGUAGCAAACAGG
rnacentral:rRNA from 1 species